rnacentral:lncRNA from 1 species
UUAUUCUAAAAAUAACUUAUUCAUUAUUUGGUUACACUGUACUUGUAAAAGAAGAACAGAGCAAAUGCAUGAUUCUUUCACAUUCCUGAAAAGGUGAGGUCAGCUUAAAUUUGUUUAUUUUGGUAUCAUUAUGAACUCAUGGAUUAAUUUUUUUUUGGUACUGGGCAUUGAACCCAGGGGCACUUUAACAACUGUGCUACAUCCCUAGACCUUUUUAUUUUUUAUUUUGAGAUAGAGUCUCACUAAGUUGCUGACACUGCCCUUGAACUUGUGAUCUUCCUGCCUCAGCUUCCUGAGGUGCUAGGAUUAUAGUCAGGUGCUCCCACAGCCUGCCAAACUCGUGAAUUCUUAACAUUUGAUGUUUC